rnacentral:rRNA from 1 species
UACGAAGGGGGCUAGCGUUGCUCGGAAUCACUGGGCGUAAAGGGCGCGUAGGCGGUGCGGUAAGUCACCUGUGAAACCUCUAGGCUCAACCUAGAGCCUGCAGGCGAAACUGCCGUGCUUGAGGGUGGGAGAGGUGCGUGGAAUUCCCGGUGUAGCGGUGAAAUGCGUAGAUAUCGGGAGGAGCACCUGUGGCGAAAGCGGCGCACUGGACCACAUCUGACGCUGAGGCGCGAAAGCUAGGGGAGCAAACAGG